AACGAACGCUGGCGGCAGGCCUAACACAUGCAAGUCGAGCGAGGACUUCGGUUCUAGCGGCGGACGGGUGAGUAACGCGUGGGAAUGUGCCCUUCUCUACGGAAUAGCCCUGGGAAACUGGGAGUAAUACCGUAUACGCCCUAUUGGGGAAAGAUUUAUCGGAGAAGGAUCAGCCCGCGUUGGAUUAGGUAGUUGGUGGGGUAAUGGCCUACCAAGCCGACGAUCCAUAGCUGGUUUGAGAGGAUGAUCAGCCACACUGGGACUGAGACACGGCCCAGACUCCUACGGGAGGCAGCAGUGGGGAAUCUUAGACAAUGGGGGCAACCCUGAUCUAGCCAUGCCGCGUGAGUGAUGAAGGCCUUAGGGUUGUAAAGCUCUUUCAGCUGGGAAGAUAAUGACGGGACCAGCAGAAGAAGCCCCGGCUAACUCCGU
rnacentral:rRNA from 1 species